rnacentral:rRNA from 1 species
UAAGGAAUAUUGGUCAAUGGACGCAAGUCUGAACCAGCCAUGCCGCGUGAAGGAUGAAGGUCCUCCGGAUUGUAAACUUCUUUUAUCUGGGACGAAAACGGGAUUUUUAUCUCAAUUGACGGUACCAGAGGAAUAAGCACCGGCUAACUCCGUGCCAGCAGCCGCGGUAAUACGGAGGGUGCGAGCGUUAUCCGGAUUUACUGGGUUUAAAGGGUGCGUAGGUGGGCUUAUAAGUCAGUGGUGAAAUCUCCGAGCUUAACUUGGAAACUGCCGUUGAUACUAUAGGUCGUGAAUUAUCUGGAGGUAAGCGGAAUAUGUCAUGUAGCGGUGAAAUGCUUAGAUGUGACAUAGAACACCAAUUGCGAAGGCAGCUUACUACAUAUAAAUUGACGCUGAGGCACGAAAGCGUGGGGAUCAAACA